AGUGAACGCUGGCGGUAGGCCUAACACAUGCAAGUCGAACGGCAGCACAGUAAGAGCUUGCUCUUACGGGUGGCGAGUGGCGGACGGGUGAGGAAUACAUCGGAAUCUACUUUUUCGUGGGGGAUAACGUAGGGAAACUUACGCUAAUACCGCAUACGACCUACGGGUGAAAGCAGGGGAUCUUCGGACCUUGCGCGAUUGAAUGAGCCGAUGUCGGAUUAGCUAGUUGGCGGGGUAAAGGCCCACCAAGGCGACGAUCCGUAGCUGGUCUGAGAGGAUGAUCGGCCACACUGGAACUGGGACACGGUCCAGACUCCUAAGGGAGGCAGCAGUGGGGAAUAUUGGACAAUGGGCGCAAGCCUGAUCCAGCCAUACCGCGUGGGUGAAGAAGGCCUUCGGGUUGUAAAGCCCUUUUGUUGGGAAAGAAAAGCAGCAGGUUAAUACCCCGCUGUUCUGACGGUACCCAAAGAAUAAGCACCGGCUAACUUCGUG
rnacentral:rRNA from 1 species